GACCCGGUGGCUGAACGGCUAGGCAGCGGUCUGCAAAAUCGUGUGAACGGGUUCGACUCCCGUCCGGGUCU
rnacentral:tRNA from 1 species